rnacentral:rRNA from 1 species
GAUGAACGCUGGCGGCGUGCCUAAUACAUGCAAGUCGAGCGAACAGACGAGGAGCUUGCUCCUCUGACGUUAGCGGCGGACGGGUGAGUAACACGUGGAUAACCUACCUAUAAGACUGGGAUAACUUCGGGAAACCGGAGCUAAUACCGGAUAAUAUAUUGAACCGCAUGGUUCAAUGGUGAAAGACGGUUUUGCUGUCACUUAUAGAUGGAUCCGCGCCGCAUUAGCUAGUUGGUAAGGUAACGGCUUACCAAGGCAACGAUGCGUAGCCGACCUGAGAGGGUGAUCGGCCACACUGGAACUGAGACACGGUCCAGACUCCUACGGGAGGCAGCAGUAGGGAAUCUUCCGCAAUGGGCGAAAGCUUGACGGAGCAACGCCGCGUGAGUGAUGAAGGUCUUCGGAUCGUAAAACUCUGUUAUUAGGGAAGAACAAAUGUGUAAGUAACUAUGCACGUCUUGACGGUACCUAAUCAGAAAGCCACGGCUAACUACGUG